rnacentral:rRNA from 1 species
AUUGAACGCUGGCGGCAGGCCUAACACAUGCAAGUCGAACGAGUGGCGGACGGGUGAGUAAUGUCUGGGGAACUGCCCGAUAGAGGGGGAUAACUACUGGAAACGGUAGCUAAUACCGCAUACCAUCGGAUGUGCCCAGAUGGGAUUAGCUAGUAGGUGGGGUAACGGCUCACCUAGGCGACGAUCCCUAGCUGGUCUGAGAGGAUGAUCAGCCACACUGGAACUGAGACACGGCCCAGACUCCUACGGGAGGCAGCAGUGGGGAAUAUUGCACAAUGGGCGCAAGCCUGAUGCAGCCAUGCCGCGUGUAUGAAGAAGGCCUUCGGGUUGUAAAGUACUUUCAGCGAGGAGGCGUUACUCGCAGAAGAAGCACCGGCUAACUCCGUGCCAGCAGCCGCGGUAAUAC